UCGAACAACUACAUUUCACUAAUUCUCUGCAGGCAGUCAUAAUAGAAGGCAGGGAAGACCAGACCGGCAGCGUCCACUCUCCAUGGUCCAUCCCCAUCCUUCUGGCUCUGGAAUGUUGUCCAUUACUGAGCACGCACGGCCCCAUACUUGUCCUGCCUGGUACGUUUAGCGAAGACAAUGCUGCCUUAAUGCUUCUUUUGUUGGAGGCAAACUCUGGAGAGUGCGACUUUUUGAAGUAAAUAGAAGUUUUCUAACAUAAUUGCCGGAAAAGUCUUCUGCGUCUUCAAAGUACAGAAGUGUAGUGGAGGUAUAAGUACCCGUAAAGGGGUCCUAUUUUUAGUUUAUAGGUUUUUCUAAUGAUUAUAAUUAUACUAGAAAACGACACCGAACGGGUACCUAUAUUAGUCUCUCUUUCCGUUCUCGCAUAAAAGCUGAUGAAACGGAAAUAUGUGUAUAUUAGGAAAAUGUUAAGUUUACAGUUUAAUAGUUACUUAACCUGGCUCCACAUUUACACGGCGAACUAGAAAAACGGCGGCGUUGGCGUUGACUACCUAUUUUAUAUAUUAUAUAUUUUUUGCAGUUUUAGAUAACGCUUAUGCCUACUAGCCCCAUUGAGUACGCGUAUUUCAUCAUGGCUGAUCAAGAAAUUGAAGUUGUUUGCAGACAAAAGAGGUAAAUAUAUCUUUAACCGUAUAUUUUUAUAGAAAGGGAACUUCGCAAACGAAUUAUCGCCAAUUAUAAAUCAGAGAAUGUAGCAAUAAUUCGCGGUUUGUGGGUAAUCCCCUCAACAAUAAAAAUGGAGGAAGGGAGGCACAAAAAUAUGUGGUUCCAGGUGACCUAGACAAUACUUUUUGGAUAUUUUAUAUCUAAAUAAAUACCUAAUUUUGUUUUUGUUUUUCCUAUACAGUCCUACACAUGACUACCAGCAUAUUGGACGUUCUAGUUAUUCCCUUACCUAAAAUAAUUUUGUUUUGUUUUGUUCCAAUCCUGGAUAUGAUAAUAAAUUGGAACUUGCCCCUAAGAAUAGAAUAAGUGCUUUAGCGAUGAUACGCUUCUAUAAUGCAGGUAACACGCAUCACGUUAUCGUAUGCAUAGGUAUCAAUCCCUAUAAUAUCUAUACAUUUGCUAACCGGUUUGAUUUCUCUGUGAACUCUUUCAUAAUUACAACAAUCGAACGGCCUGCCUCACAAGACAAGUUCUCAGUUUUACCUUAAUUUAGACAGAUGGGGAUAAAAUAGUAUUUAUUAUCAGAAAAAGUAGCGUCUAAAUUCAUAACAUUCGGGGAUGUUAUGGUGUUAUUCUACAUUAAUAGUUUGCAUGGAUCAGGCUACAUAUUCAUUAUUCAAACCACUCAAUCGG